UACGUAGGUGGCAAGCGUUGUCCGGAUUUAUUGGGCGUAAAGCGAGCGCAGGCGGAAAGAUAAGUCUGAUGUGAAAGCCCCCGGCUUAACCGAGGAAUUGCAUCGGAAACUGUGUUUCUUGAGUGCAGAAGAGGAGAGUGGAACUCCAUGUGUAGCGGUGAAAUGCAUAGAUAUCAUGAAGAACUCCGAUCGCGAAGGCAAGUGUCCGGGGUGCAACUGACGCUGAGGCUCGAAAGUGCGGGUAUCAAACAGG
rnacentral:rRNA from 1 species